AGAGUUUGAUCAUGGCUCAGGAUGAACGCUAGCGGCAGGCUUAAUACAUGCAAGUCGAGGGGCAGCACGGGUAGCAAUACCUGGUGGCGACCGGCAAACGGGUGCGGAACACGUACGCAACCUUCCUUUAAGUGAGGAAUAGCCCAGGGAAACUUGGAUUAAUACCUCGUAAGAUUGUGGAUUGGCAUCAAUCAGCAAUUAUAGCUCCGGCGCUUAAAGAUGGGCGUGCGCCUGAUUAGGUAGUUGGCGGGGUAAAGGCCCACCAAGCCUACGAUCAGUAACUGGUGUGAGAGCACGACCAGUCACACGGGCACUGAGACACGGGCCCGACUCCUACGGGAGGCAGCAGUAAGGAAUAUUGGGCAAUGGACGCAAGUCUGACCCAGCCAUGCCGCGUGGAGGAUGAAGGUCCUCUGGAUUGUAAACUUCUUUUAUUUGGGAAGAAACCCAUAUUUUCUAAUGUGGUUGACGGUACCAGAUGAAUAAGCACCGGCUAACUCCGUGCCAGCAGCCGCGGUAAUACGGAGGGUGCAAGCGUUAUCCGGAUUCACUGGGUUUAAAGGGUGCGUAGGCGGGUUGGUAAGUCCGUGGUGAAAUCUCCGAGCUUAACUCGGAAACUGCCGUGGAUACUAUCAGUCUUGAAUAUCGUUGAGGUAAGCGGAAUAUGUCAUGUAGCGGUGAAAUGCUUAGAUAUGACAUAGAACACCAAUUGCGAAGGCAGCUUACUGAACGGUCAUUGACGCUGAGGCACGAAAGCGUGGGGAGCAAACAGGAUUAGAUACCCUAGUAGUCC
rnacentral:rRNA from 1 species